GACAAAGACAUUUCAUUCAUUCAUAACGCCAACACCCCCUCACCCACCCAUAAAGUUUUGUGUAGGGCCCCCAGAAGUCAAGGAUCAGCACUGAGCACGCGCGCACACACACACACACACACAGACACACACACACACACACAGAGACACAAGUAUUUAUUUGUUUAUUUAUUUUGUUUUAACAGAUGGAAACAAAGACAUUCUCGGUGGUAGAAUUUGCAGAUGACAAUUCUGUGGAAAUUGUCCCAACCACAUGGCUGGAGGAAACCACCAAAGGAACCAUUUGCUUUUGGACGUUUUUAAACACAAGGCAGCUGGUGAGAAAUAAAGCAUUGCCUGACAAGCAAAAGUGGAGGCGGUUA